AAAUAUUUCGCGCGGGAAGCCACAAGCGAACGCUUCAGUCGCGACAGUACAUUAUGGGAUGCGGAUGAAUUUUGUCGUAGGAUGAUCAAUGGAUUUUCUAUUUACCUUCGAAGCAAUAUUCAGAUUCAGAACUAUGAAAAAUGGAGUUACGAAGAAACUGACGAAAUUGAGAAAAAUCUACAAUACAGGUUGAAAUAGAGAGACGUGCAAAAUCAGUGGAAAAACGGUAAAAACGUCUGGAAACCUUUCACCUGCAGAUGGCAUAAUAAGGUACUAUAUAAUACACUAACACAUCCUUCUAAACAAAUAAUAUAUGUAAUUUUUGGUGUAAAUUACUUUUCUAUGUAGUCGACGUUUUCCGUUUUAAAGUAUCAAAGACUCGUGUAAUAAAGUAUAUAUUAUGUUAACUUAUUGUUGCUGAAAAUUUUUUUCUUACAAAAAUGGUUAAUUGAGCUUUUCGGAUUCAAUUCAUGGGUAACGAUAUCAAAAAGUUUGGUAACCACUGUAAUAAAAAGAUGUUUCAUCAAAAUAGAUAAUUGUAGGAGUCGCGUUGUGGUUGCCUAAAGUAGUACAAUAUUCGGUACUCGCGAAAUAUGUGUACCAGGUUACGGUUGGGCCAUAAUUUUAUUCAGAUUUUCCUCAUUUUAGUUCUGUUACGAGUUCGGGGACUGUCUGUGUUAGCCAAGUGAAUAUAC